rnacentral:rRNA from 1 species
ACCAGACUCCUACGGGAGGCAGCAGUGGGGAAUAUUGCACAAUGGGGGAAACCCUGAUGCAGCGACGCCGCGUGAGCGAUGAAGUAUUUCGGUAUGUAAAGCUCUCUCAGCAGGGAAGAAAAUGACGGUACCUGACUAAGAAGCCCCGGCUAACUACGUGCCAGCAGCCGCGGUAAUACGUAGGGGGCAAGCGUUAUCCGGAUUUACUGGGUGUAAAGGGAGCGUAGACGGCUGUGCAAGCCAGAUGUGAAAGCCCGGGGCUCAACCCCGGGACUGCAUUUGGAACUGUGUGGCUGGAGUGCCGGAGAGGCAGGCGGAAUUCCUAGUGUAGUGGUGAAAUGCGUAGAUAUUAGGAGGAACACCAGUGGCGAAGGCGGCCUGCUGGGCGAUGACUGACGUUGAGACUCGAAAGCGUGGGGAGCAAACAGGAUUAGAUACCCCUGUAC